CCUACGGGUGGCAGCAGUGAGGAAUAUUGGUCAAUGGGCUUACGCCUGAACCAGCCAAGUCGCGUGAGGGAAGACUGCCCUAUGGGUUGUAAACCUCUUUUGUCAGGGAGCAAUUGGCGCUACGUGUAGCGUUAUCGAGAGUACCUGAAGAAAACGCAUCGGCUAACUCCGUGCCAGCAGCCGCGGUAAUACGGAGGAUGCGAGCGUUAUCCGGAUUUAUUGGGUUUAAGGGGUGCGUAGGCGGAAUGCCAAGUCAGCGGUAAAACCGCGGGGCUCAACCUCGCUCCGCCGUUGAAACUGGCGUUCUUGAGUGGGCGAGAAGUAUGCGGAAUGCGUGGUGUAGCGGUGAAAUGCAUAGAUAUCACGCAGAACUCCGAUUGCGAAGGCAGCUUACUAAGCCAUAACUGACACUGAAGCACGAAAGCGUGGGGAUCAAACAGGAUUAGAUACCCUGGUAGUC
rnacentral:rRNA from 1 species